ACCCAAAGGGCUAAGUCUUCUUUCUUAAUUUUUAAAACGAGCAUGUGUUUUGUUGUUUACAUGAAUCGUCGGUUCUCCCAGUGUGAUCACGACACUGUCCCAUGCUGAUUCCAUGCACGGUGCAACUCUUUCCCAAGAGAGAGUUUGGACCUGAGCCAUCAAUCAUCCACCAAAAGCCUGCAUUGACCCUAGAAGAUUCCAUUGCAUGUUGUCAAGGCGCUUAGUUUCUCUCUUGUGUCUCCCCAAAACAUAAACCUGGAAUGGAAGAGAGCCACUUACUCUAUAGAUGCUUUUAGCUCAGAACGCUUCAAGCUUUUGGAGUAUGAGAAAUAAUAACAAUCAUUCCAUUCUUUCCUGGAGUUUGAUCUCAGCUGUUGGUGAUAUUGUUGGGACUGAUUUGCUAUCUAUAAAGCCAAAUUUGAGAAAAGACAGGUUAAAAAUAAACAAGGAGGAUGAUGGUAGUAAAAAUAA
rnacentral:lncRNA from 1 species